rnacentral:rRNA from 1 species
UACAGAGGUCUCAAGCGUUGUUCGGAUUCAUUGGGCGUAAAGGGUGCGUAGGCGGCGCGGUAAGUCGGGUGUGAAAUCUCGGGGCUUAACUCCGAAACUGCAUUCGAUACUACCGUGCUUGAGGACUGGAGAGGAGACUGGAAUUUACGGUGUAGCGGUGGAAUGCGCAGAUAUCAGGAAGAACACCAAUGGCGAAAGCAGCUCUCUGGGACGGUACUGACGCUGAGACGCGAAAGCGUGGGGAGCGAACAGG